UAAUACCCUAAAGGCACUAGAUCCCAUCUGAUCUUGGAAGCUAAGUAGGGUCAGUCCUGGUUAAUACUUGCAUGGGAGACUAUCAAUGGAUACUAGGU
rnacentral:rRNA from 1 species